AUGCCUAAGCGAGAGAAAAAAAGAGCAAACAAAAUAACAAUCGGCAAACUACAACAACAAUUGUAUCCACGCCGACAAUCUUUUGACACCACAUUGAUAAUGAUGUUCUUCAACAACAACGCUUUUAGAAAAGAAGCGACGCUCAAGCGUCGUCGUCACCGGAUCCAACCACCGGAGGCCAGAUUUCAAGGUUUUCACCUUAAAGAAGAAGUCCACGCAUAUUCGAGCAUGGAGCCCACAUGGACGGGGGCGUUGAGCUCGGAGACGACGUCGAGCAUGGAGCCGCGGUCGAGCAGGUGGCCGAUGGCGGCGGGAGGGUCGACGACGGGGACGGUGGGGUGGGCCGCGGAGAAGGCCUCCAGCUGUGCACGCCAUGACUCGUCGUACAGCUUGUGGAUGAGGAGGUGGAAGGGUCCCUGGUCGACGAGAGAGUGGGAGGGGUCGACGGCGAGGAGCCGCAUGCCGCGCUCGGCUGCCAUGGCGACGAGCGGCGGCUGGAUGACGGUGUCCAGCUUGUCGGGCUGCAGCGCGUAG
rnacentral:rRNA from 1 species